GCGAGCCAUCGUGAUAUAUUGUUGGGCGGAUGCGCAAUGAAGUGCAACUGGGCCUGCCAUUAAUCAAGGGGCUAGUUAAGGCCCUUAAGUCAGCAAUCGACAGAUUUUGAGGCGCCCAUGUGAUCUUUGGCUCGGCGCACGGGCAGGAGACCAAAGCAGGAAGGAUAAAAACAUGCAGUGAAAAAGAAACAAAAAUCAAGCUACAGAUGAUAUGGUUGAAGGCCCUGACAAUCGCCGUGGGUGGAAAACUUCGGUUAAGGAAGAAGGAAGACAUGUCAGAGGAACUGUUUUGGAAAGUGGCAUCUUCAGAACAGAUGCGACAGAGGCGAAGGAACUGAGAGAAUGGGAUGGAGUCCCUACAGGAAGCGGGGUGUGAGGAGCUGUAGUCAAGGCUGGUUAUUGAUUCCCCAUAGUUUCGUCGAGGCAUAACUGGCGAGGUACUUGGACUUGGCAGAUUUUCCAUUUCUGUAUGUGAGGUAGACGCUGAGGGAGCCGUUGAAGGAUUCAUCGACUCUUUGGCAGGCUUGAU